UACGAAGGGGGCUAUCGUUGCUCGGAAUCACUGGGCGUAAAGCGCACGUAGGCGGCUUUCUAAGUCAGGGGUGAAAUCCUGGAGCUCAACUCCAGAACUGCCUUUGAUACUGGAGAGCUUGAGUCCGGAAGAGGUGAGUGGAACUCCGAGUGUAGAGGUGAAAUUCGUAGAUAUUCGGAAGAACACCAGUGGCGAAGGCGGCUCACUGGUCCGGUACUGACGCUGAUGUGCGAAAGCGUGGGGAGCAAACAGG
rnacentral:rRNA from 1 species